GUGAGGAAUUUUCCGCAAUGGGCGAAAGCCUGACGGAGCAAUGCCGCGUGAAGGAUGAAGGCCUAUGGGUUGUAAACUUCUUUUCUCAGAAAAGAAUUAUGACGGUAUCUGAGGAAUAAGCAUCGGCUAACUCUGUGCCAGCAGCCGCGGUAAGACAGAGGAUGCAAGCGUUAUCCGGAAUGAUUGGGCGUAAAGCGUCUGUAGGUUGUUUAAAAAGUAUUCUGUCAAAGAUUAGGGCUUAACCCUAGAUAGGCAGAAUAAACUUUUAAGCUAGAGUUUGGUAGAGGCAGAGGGAAUUCCCGGUGGAGCGGUGAAAUGCGUAGAUAUCGGGAGGAACACCUAAGGCGAAGGCACUCUGCUGGGCCAAUACUAACACUGAGAGACGAAAGCGAGGGGAGCAAAUGGGAUUAGAUACCCGAGUAGUCC
rnacentral:rRNA from 1 species